UUUUUUGAUCAAAGUUGAGAUUUUGAAUAUUAAAAUCCUCUGUGUUGGUAUAUGCUAAAAAAUGGUUAAGCUUCUUCUUGUGUGUUUUACUGAUUUUGAUUACUUUAAGUCCUAAAGGGAACCAACAUAGGCAUCUAAUGCUUGUACCUCUUUUGCUUUUGGUCUUAAUUCUUUUCUCUGGUGGUUCAGGUAUGUUGAACUGUAUUAAAAUACAACAUUGGUCUUGGCACUGUGUCUUGUGGAUCAAUUAUGGAUCUGCUUCAUAGAAAGAUAAUAUCUUUCCAGUUUCUUUAUCUUGGAAAUAGUACAAACUCCGAUCUCGGUUCUUGGAUAGAGUUCACUAGGUCUUUUUCUUUUAUACAAGUUGUGGGUAAGCAAAUAGAAAUAUAGUUGAAUAAACAUGCCAAAGCUAAAGACUUUGAAGAUGACUACUGACUCAGAGAACUGUACCGUAUUCUUUUUCAUUUCUUCGUCGUGCAAUUACGAGAAAUCAGGAUUCCGGUUGGUGGACCGGUCAUCUGAAGUUGGCACCUCCCGUGCAGCUGAUAAGAGUAAUGAAUCAUUCCAAAAUGAGCUUUGACUUUGAAGGUACCUCUAAUCUCAUAUUCUAUCUUGUUGUUUUCCAGCUGUCUCCUGAGUUCCACCGCGUGGUUUACAGGCAAGCCUACCAAACUAGAGAUCAAACGGAUUGGUUCCAACCUCGUCUCAUGCUUUUUCUGCAAGAAUGGCUGGACCACUUGCGCUGCAAUCAAUCUAUUGAAGAAGAAGAGCUCAAUCCGAAGCUUCUCAAACUUCACUUCUAUCUUCUUAUUAGGGUUAGUGAAAUUCACCAGCAUGGACAAAUCGCCGUUGAAAAACUCCGGCGUGUCGAAGUAGAUCGUGUGUAGGUUUGCGUUUGGGAUGUCGAAAACAGGUAUUCUUGGUCUAAUCGCAAGAAACACUAUCAAAGUGGCAAUCGCAAAAAAGAUAAGCAAAAGGCUGAACACAAAACAGAAACCGGCAACACACCAUAUCCAGAGACUGGUCCUGCUACUCCUUGGCUGACGGAGAAUCACCCUAUCUUUCCUCGGCUCUGCAUCAAGACCGUUGAAUCUAACCGUUGCUGGCUUUGUUAAGACCAUUUGGCCAACUGGUGUGGAUUGUGUGCUCUGUGGUGUUCUCCAUGGUGUGGUUCUUGGAGUAUACCAUACAGACGAUGGUGUUUCCCAUGAUGGCGUUUCGGGCGGUUGCAACUGCGGUGGAGGAGGAAGAUGAGGUAGAUUUGGCAUGAGUUAUGUGAUCAAUGAAAGGAAAAUUGGAAAUGUGUAAUGGUUAUGGAUUAAAUAGGAAAAUAACAGAACUUUUGUUUUUUGUUGUGUGUAAAAAAGGGAAAGCGAGAGUUUGGGCAAAAGAAGAGAGCUUUUGCAUAAUGGGGUUUGGUUUUUGUAAUGAGUGGGACCAUGCGUGUCGUUUUGAAGAACUAGUAAAGCAAAUCUCGGUGGAUU